UGGGGAAUAUUGGGCAAUGGAGGGAACUCUGACCCAGCCAUGCCGCGUGCAGGAUGAAGGCGUUAUGCGUUGUAAACUGCUUUUAUAUAGGAAAAAAUAGUCCUUGCGAGGAAAGUUGACGGUACUAUAUGAAUAAGCACCGGCUAACUCCGUGCCAGCAGCCGCGGUAAUACGGAGGGUGCAAGCGUUGUCCGGAUUUAUUGGGUUUAAAGGGUGCGUAGGCGGUUUAUUAAGUCAGUGGUGAAAGACGGUCGCUCAACGAUUGCAGUGCCAUUGAUACUGGUAGACUUGAGUAUGAUUGAGGUAGCUGGAAUGGAUAGUGUAGCGGUGAAAUGCAUAGAUAUUAUCCAGAACACCAAUUGCGUAGGCAAGUUACUAAGUCAUAACUGACGCUGAGGCACGAAAGUGUGGGUAUCAAACAGGAUUAGAUACCCGCGUAGUCCCUGAGCGGGCUGGCAAGGCGCAU
rnacentral:rRNA from 1 species